rnacentral:lncRNA from 1 species
CAAACAUCAAGUAAUACUCUCAAUAAAGAUGUGUAAUUAAAACAGAAGAGGAAACAGACUAACAGAAGUGAUGAAGAAUGGCAGUUCUAAGGAUGGCAGGAAUUCACUGAAUGUCUAUCUAUCAUGUAUGCUGUUGGAGGCACCUGUCUUUCAGUUCAGAGGUUAUGGAUGUAUCUAUCAUCAGUAUUUCGGGAAGUCAGGGACCCGGAACAGAGGGACUUAAUGAAGCUGUGGCAGAAGAAAAAAUUAUGAAGAUUUC